GACAGAGGGUGCAAACGUUGUUCGGAAUUACUGGGCGUAAAGCGCGUGUAGGCGGCAAGGCAAGUCGGGUGUGAAAGCCCUGGGCUCAACCCGGGAAGUGCAUUCGAUACUGCUAAGCUAGAGUCCCGGAGAGGAUGGUGGAACUCUCGGUGUAGAGGUGAAAUUCGUAGAUAUCGAGAGGAACACCGGUGGCGAAGGCGGCCUUCUGGACAGUGACUGACGCUGAGACGCGAAAGCGUGGGGAGCAAACAGG
rnacentral:rRNA from 1 species